AGCGAACGCUGGCGGCAGGCCUAAAACAUGCAAGUCGAACGCCCGUAGCAAUACGGGAGUGGCAGACGGGUGAGUAACACGUGGGAACGUACCCUUUGGUUCGGAACAACACAGGGAAACUUGUGCUAAUACCGGAUAAGCCCUUACGGGGAAAGAUUUAUCGCCAGAGGAUCGGCCCGCGUCUGAUUAGCUUGUUGGUGAGGUAACGGCUCACCAAGGCUACGAUCAGUAGCUGGUCUGAGAGGAUGAUCAGCCACACUGGGACUGAGACACGGCCCAGACUCCUACGGGAGGCAGCAGUUAGGAAUCUUGGACAAUGGGCGCAAGCCUGAUCCAGCCAUGCCGCGUGAGUGAUGAAGGCCUUAGGGUUGUAAAGCUCUUUCAGCGGGGAAGAUAAUGACGGUACCGCAGAAGAAGCCCCGGCUAACUUCGUGCCAGCAGCCG
rnacentral:rRNA from 1 species